rfam:Mus musculus chromosome 7, GRC primary reference assembly.
UCAUCAGUUAGGCUGCUGGCUAUACUCCAGGACUUACCUUGUCCUGGAUAUAACCACUGCCAGACUGAAAG